AGCAAAGAAAGCAGACUUGUGAGGGCGUCUGGUGGCACUUUCAGGUCCCAGUCAGCUGCUCGUGGGGAUUGAGGGACGUGGGUGGGUGGCUGGGGGGUGAGCGGCCGAGGGCCCAUAUCCGGGACGGAGGGAGGGUCACCUGCCUGCCUUUGCACGCCCAGCCGGCGCUGUCUCCCUCCUCCCCGAAGCUUCCUUGCUGGACAGGUCUGACUCCAGGCAGCCCGUGUGGGAUCGCCUUGGCCGCAACGGUCCCGGGUGGAAAGGCAUCACCGUUGUCCCCUUACCCUCACCACCAAGCAUAUUGAGGAAGAGGGACUUGCAAACGUGAGAAGGUGCAAAAAUCAUCCACCUAACUUCUGAGGCAGAACAGACUAUGAACUGAAGACAGUGCUGUAUUGCAGUGUGUGCCCCAAAAGGGACCAGCUGACCUUGCAGGCCCGGAGGUGCUAAUGAGAGAAUGAAAAGGGCCCCGGGAAGCAGGAGACGUAAAUCGCACACCUUCUCCCCAUGUAACAAUAAUGCCCAAACCGCCACAAAGCAAGGGUCUGGACGAUAGGGUCUCACUUUUCCAACCAUAGCUCAGUUACACAAGGGAGAAAGGGCAGAGGCAGAUCUACCCCUCACACAUUUUCUACCCCUCACACAUUUUCCUUUGGCCUCAUACUCAAUUCCCCAGUCCUGUUUAUCUCAGUUUCCAUUGUGUAACCUAGAUGAAUGCCUCCUGUUCUAGUAAUGGCCAUAAUAAUAUUUAAUCACAUUUAUUGUGUACUUUCUAAGAGCUGGGUACCCUUCUGAGCACCUCACAAAAAUCAAUCCUCCCAACAAUACCGACUAGGAACUACUUUUAUCUUAUUUUAA
rnacentral:lncRNA from 1 species